AGUGAACGCUGGCGGUAGGCCUAACACAUGCAAGUCGAACGGCAGCACAGUAAGAUCUUGCUCUUACUGGUGGCGAGUGGCGGACGGGUGAGGAAUACAUCGGAAUCUACUUUUUCGUGGGGGAUAACGUAGGGAAACUUACGCUAAUACCGCAUACUACCUACGGGUGAAAGCAAGGGAUCUUCGGACCUUGCGCGAUUGAAUUAGCCGAUGUCGGAUUAGCUAGUUGGCGGGGUAAAGUCCCACCAAGGCGACGAUGCGUAGCUGAUCCGAGAUGAGGAGCGGCCACAAUAGAAAUGAGAAAAGGGCGAGACUCCGACGGUAGGAAGCAGUGGGGAAUAAUGCACAAUGGGCGAAAGCCUGACGGAGCAAUAACGCGUGAGUGAUGAAGGACUUCGGAUCGUAAAACGCUGUUAUUAGGAAAGAAAAAAUGAGUAAUAAACUGUGCACAUCUUGACGGUACCUAAUCAGAAAGCUACGGCUAACUCCGUG
rnacentral:rRNA from 1 species